AGUCAAUAGUGAGAGAUUAACACUCCUUAUUCACAUUAUUGAGAAAAGGAAGUGGCACCUAACACAUACAAGUAGAAGGCUUAGAAUUUUGGGUCUCUUCAUGUGCAUGGAUAGGAGAUCUUGCUCCAAGUGAAGCAUGAUUGGAACGAAAUAUUGUGGAUGGCCUUGAUUUGUGUUAAUUCUCCACUUCAUUUGGAAAGAAGGUUUUAGAAAAGAAGAUUUCUCUCUCAUGUGGUUAGAAGAAGUUUCACCUUAAAAAGAAAAUCUUAGAGACAUCUCAUGCACAAGAACAAGGGCACCAUGUGCACAAGAAUUGCAAACGAUAUACACUUUGUAUGAUAGGAUUGGAAACAUCUCUUAGGGAUGCUAGCCUUCCUUCAUUUCUUGAAGAUACCUCAUACACAUGAGGAGUUUAGAUUUGGGACUCCAAAUGCACGAGAAGAGGAGACUCCAUACUUGGUAAGAUCAGAUUGAGAGAAUAUCUUAGGGAUACCAGCCUUUCUGCAUCUCUUUCGAAACUCGAGGCACUUCUAAGGAGGAAAAAUAGGCAUAGAAUCAAAAUGAUUGAGUGUAAAAGCAAGAGUGGAAGCU
rnacentral:lncRNA from 1 species